UGGGGAAUUUUGGACAAUGGGCGAAAGCCUGAUCCAGCAAUGCCGCGUGUGUGAAGAAGGCCUUCGGGUUGUAAAGCACUUUUGUCCGGAAAGAAAUGGCUCUGGUUAAUACCUGGGGUCGAUGACGGUACCGGAAGAAUAAGGACCGGCUAACUACGUGCCAGCAGCCGCGGUAAUACGUAGGGUCCAAGCGUUAAUCGGAAUUACUGGGCGUAAAGCGUGCGCAGGCGGUUGUGCAAGACCGAUGUGAAAUCCCCGAGCUUAACUUGGGAAUUGCAUUGGUGACUGCACGGCUAGAGUGUGUCAGAGGGGGGUAGAAUUCCACGUGUAGCAGUGAAAUGCGUAGAGAUGUGGAGGAAUACCGAUGGCGAAGGCAGCCCCCUGGGAUAACACUGACGCUCAUGCACGAAAGCGUGGGGAGCAAACAGGAUUAGAUACCCUGGUAGUCCACGCCCUAAACGAUGUCAACUAGUUGUUGGGGAUUCAUUUCCUUAGUAACGUAGCUAACGCGUGAAGUUGACCGCCUGGGGAGUACGGUCGCAAGAUUAAAAGCUCAAAUGAAUUGACGGGGUCUAGCUGUUUCC
rnacentral:rRNA from 1 species